GGGAUUGCCCUAGUAACGGCGAGUGAAGCGGCAACAGCUCAAAUUUGAAAGCUGGCUUAGGCCCGCAUUGUAAUUUGCAGAGGAUGACUCGGGUGCGAUACCUGGCUAAGUCCCUUGGAACAGGGCGUCAUAGAGGGUGAUAAUCCCGUAUGUGCCAGGCCGUCAAACCUUUGUGAGUCUCCUUCGACGAGUCGAGUUGUUUGGGAAUGCAGCUCUAAAUGGGUGGUAAAUGCCAUCUAAAGCUAAAUACCGGCCAGAGACCGAUAGCGCACAAGUAGAGUGAUCGAAAGAUGAAAAGAACUUUGAAAAGAGAGUUAAAAAGUACGUGAAAUUGUUGAAAGGGAAGCGCUUGCAACCAGACUUGUUUUGGGAGUUCAGCCAUGCUUCUGUAUGGUGUAUUUCUCCCUUUGCAGGCCAGCAUCAGUUCGGGCAGUCGGAUAAAGGCCUCUGGAACGUAGCAGCUCUCGGGCUGUGUUAUAGCCAGUGGUGUCAUACGGCUAGCCUGGACUGAGGACCGCGCAUUGCUAGGAUGCUGGCGUAAUGGUUGCCAGCGACCCGUCUUGAAACACGGACCAAGGAGUCGACCAACUAUGCGAGUGUUUGGGUGUUAAACCCACACGCGUAAUGAAAGUAAACGGAGGUGAGAAGCUUCGGCUGCAUCAUCGACCGAUCCUGAUGUCUUCGGAAGGAUUUGAGUAAGAGCACAGUUGGUCGGACCCGAAAGAAGGUGAACUAUGCUUGAAUAGGGUGAAGCCAGAGGAAACUCUGGUGGAAGCUCGCAGCGGUUCUGACGUGCAAAUCGAUCGUCAAAUUUGAGCAUAGGGGCGAAAGACUUAUCGAACCUUCCAAUCUACUAGGAGGUUAAUUGGGGAUUCAGAGAAGAAUUCCUUAGUUC
rnacentral:rRNA from 1 species